UACGUAGGGUGCAAGCGUUGUCCGGAAUUAUUGGGCGUAAAGAGCUCGUAGGCGGUUUGUUGCGUCGGCUGUGAAAACCUGAGGCUCAACCUCAGGCCUGCAGUCGAUACGAGCAGACUAGAGUGUUGGCAGGGGAGACUGGAAUUCCUGGUGUAGCGGUGAAAUGCGCAGAUAUCAGGAGGAACACCGGUGGCGAAGGCGGGUCUCUGGGCAACAACGUGACG
rnacentral:rRNA from 1 species